AGCGAACGCUGGCGGCAGGCUUAACACAUGCAAGUCGAACGCCCCGCAAGGGGAGUGGCAGACGGGUGAGUAACACGUGGGAACGUACCCUUUGGUUCGGAAUAACUUGGGGAAACUCAAGCUAAUACCGGAUAAGCCCUUAUGGGGAAAGGUUUACUGCCGAAGGAUCGGCCCGCGUCUGAGUAGCUAGUUGGUGGGGUAAUGGCUCACCAAGGCGACGAUCAGUAGCUGGUCUGAGAGGAUGAUCAGCCACACUGGGACUGAGACACGGCCCAGACUCCUACGGGAGGCAGCAGUGGGGAAUAUUGGACAAUGGGGGCAACCUUGAUCCAGCCAUGCCGCGUGAGUGACGAAGGCCUUAGGGUUGUAAAGCUCUUUUACCCGGGACGAUAAUGACUGUACCGGGAGAAUAAGCCCCGGCUAACUUCGUGCCAGCCGCCGCCGUAA
rnacentral:rRNA from 1 species